GACACGAUCCUCCCGAGGACUCGGCACUCUAAAGUUGAGCAAGGGAUAGAAGUGGCUGUGAAGCCGUGAUGAUGGAUAGAUGAUCUCGAUCUAGAGACGACACACGACUCAAAGACGAGAGAAUGGAUCGAUGGAUAUCACAGAAGCUUGCGGAAGAGCUUCACGAUACCGAAACUUAGAUCCUUUGGAUAUGCGCACCAAAAGAUACUAAGGGUUUUGCUGGAUAUACACACCAACAAGAUGAUCUUCUUAGAAAAGGUUUUUGAU
rnacentral:lncRNA from 1 species